UUGUGCUGCGAUUCUGUCAGUGCUGACAAGUUAUGCAAUGUUGGGCUGGCUCUGUAUUUAGAUGGAAGACAACCAAGGAAUAGCCAAGUGCUGCAGAAA
rnacentral:rRNA from 1 species